UACGGGGGGGGCAAGCGUUGUUCGGAAUUACUGGGCGUAAAGGGCUCGUAGGCGGCCAACUAAGUCGGAUGUGAAAUCCCCAGGCUUAACUUGGGAACUGCAGCCGAUACUGGAUGGCUUGAAUCCGGGAGAGGGAUGCGGAAUUCCAGGUGUAGCGGUGAAAUGCGUAGAUAUCUGGAGGAACACCGGUGGCGAAGGCGGCAUCCUGGACCGGCAUUGACGCUGAUGAGCGAAAGCCAGGGGAGCAAACGGG
rnacentral:rRNA from 1 species